GGUGACUCAGUGGUAGAGUGCUUACCUUGCAUGAAUGAGGCCCUGAGUUCAAUUCCUCAGCACCA
rnacentral:tRNA from 1 species